AGAACCCAUUUUAGUUCUGUCUUUCAGCCUAGCACACUCCACAUUCUCAGACAUCGCUUCUUGAGAGUGUACUAACCAUCAACUAUCAUUUCACAAUGGAGAAGGGUAGGCUGGAACUUGGAUGUGCAUUGGCAGGUCUGCAUUGGCAGACCAGAUGUCACCAUACAGACAACAAUAUCCUACAGGACAGAAAAGCUUGAAAGUAAAAGAAACUUUGGUGUUUGAAUAAACCACACAUUUGUCCUGGACAACCUGCCUAUCGUUGAACUGUUACAUGAGAGAAAAAGAGAUUUCUCUCUUAUUUGAACAAUUGCAUUUUCAAGUCUUUUUGUUACAGCAGCAUAACUGAUACCCUAACCCUGACAAAUACAUUUUUAAACAAAAGGAGGAAUGCUACUAUCGUACUCUAUGCUGGUCCAGUCUUACUUGGGGUGCAGUAUUCUCAUCUGUGAAUCACAUUUCAAGGGGCCUAAAGACAAAGUAGAAGUGUUCAGAUAACAGCAACAUGAUUGGUGAGAAAUUCAAAGUUGAAGAAACUGGAAGAGCAGAUUUAGAGUAAGUAGGAGUGCCACUUUCAAAUGUCUGAGGAACUGGCCUGUGAAAGAAUGAUUCACUUUGUUCUGUGUAGUUUCAGUAGAUAGAAGUAUGGUUCAACGGGAAAACUGAUUUUGCUGAAGAGAAAGAUUUCUGGCUGUCAGGUCUGCAUAGACAUUGGAGGCACUGAGUUCCCUGCUCAUGGAGAUAUUUUUCACAGAGCCUGGAUAAUCAUUUGGCUGGAUUUGUAACAACUGUGUAUCAUACAGCAUGAAAAUGCAUUUUCUAGCUUCCCUUGAAGUGAAAUGUGAGCAAAAAUGAUGCCAGCCACUCCCAGACCGGCCCAUAGAAACCUCCCAUAUUCUUUCUUCUUCUGCUGCUGGAUAUUGACACAGGGGAUGACUUUGAAAGCUGAGUAUUGAAGAUGGCAGAAGCUGUCUUUCAGCCUUGGUCCCUGAACAACAUGUUGAGCAGAUCCCGUGGUAAUCUGGAACUGCCCUGGACUGUAGGAAUCAACUUCUUUAUACAACAAUGGCAGAGAAGUUCUACAAUAUGGAGUCCUGUGAUAAAAGGUACUAGUGCUCAGUGAUUUCCAAAUAUUGACUGAUUCAAU
rnacentral:lncRNA from 1 species